CAUAGAGGGUGAGAAUCCCGUAUGUGACUGGGUACCUACGCUCAUGUGAAGCUCUUUCGACGAGUCGAGUUGUUUGGGAAUGCAGCUCAAAAUGGGUGGUAAAUUUCAUCUAAAGCUAAAUAUUGGCCAGAGACCGAUAGCGCACAAGUAGAGUGAUCGAAAGAUGAAAAGCACUUUGGAAAGAGAGUUAAACAGUACGUGAAAUUGUUGAAAGGGAAGCGCUUGCAAUCAGACUUGCGUCUAGUUGAUCAUCCGGGCUUCUGCCCGGUGCACUCGAUUAGGCUCAGGCCAGCAUCGGUUUGGGUGGUUGGAUAAAGGCCUGGGGAACGUAGCCUCCUUCGGGGGGUGUUAUAGCCCCAGGUGCAAUGCAGCCUACCUGGACCGAGGACCGCGCUUCGGCUAGGAUGCUGGCGUAAUGGUUGUAAGCGACCCGUCUUGAAACACGGACCAAGGAGUCUAACAUUUAUGCGAGUGUUUGGGUGUUAAACCCAUACGCGUAAUGAAAGUGAACGGAGGUAAGAACCCUUAAGGGUGCAUUAUCGACCGAUCCUGAUGUCUUCGGAUGGAUUUGAGUAAGAGCAUAACUGUUGGGACCCGAAAGAUGGUGAUCUAUACGUGAAUAGGGUGAAGCCAGAGGAAACUCUGGUGGAGGCUCGCAGCGGUUCUGACGUGCAAAUCGAUCGUCAAAUUUGCGUAUAGGGGCGAAAGACUAAUCGAACCAUUGGUGACCAGCCACUAGGUGGUUAAGAAGGAAGCCUUAGUCCCCCCGCGAGGGGGGGCGACAUUGUCAAAUUGUCGGGGACCACCCGCUAAAUUUCAAGCUACCGCAGCCUCGCUCGAAAGGGGAGGUGCGCACCGGGGCCACGGCCCUGGGGAUGGUAACAUGCUUGAAUAGGGUCA
rnacentral:rRNA from 1 species